GUAGUGUAGCGGGGUGAGCUUGACACAUGGACUAGGAUAGCAUGAGGAUUGGGUCUUGUGACAUAGAAUCCUAUAGCGGCAUAAAGAGCUGAACUUGGACAUAGCCUAGUAGAGUGGCAUUGAACUAGUGUGGUAGAAGCACUAUGACAUAAAACAAGUGGCAUGUAGAAUAAUUGAGACAUUUACUACAAUGACUAAACAAGUGACAUUGAGUCUAGUGUAAUAAACUUAACAUGAACUUAGGGAUAGUAGAAGUCCCAACAUUGAUUAUAUAUCAUGAUUGUGCAGCAGAGGCACAUUGACCCUAGUAGACAGGGUAUCCUCUUGUGAGGAUUGGAUCAUACUCACUAGUCUAU
rnacentral:lncRNA from 1 species